GACGAACGCUGGCGGCGUGCCUAAUACAUGCAAGUUGAGCGCUGAAGGUUGGUACUUGUACCAACUGGAUUAGCAGCGAACGGGUGAGUAACGCGUGGGGAAUCUGCCUUUGAGCGGGGGACAACAUUGGGAAACGAAUGCUAAUACCGCAUAAAAACUUUAAACACAAGUUUUAAGAUUGAAAGAUGCAAUUGCAUCACUCAAAGAUGAUCCCGCGUUGUAUUAGCUAGUUGGUGAGGUAAAGGCUCACCAAGGCGAUGAUACAUAGCCGACCUGAGAGGGUGAUCGGCCACAUUGGGACUGAGAAACGGCCCAAACCCCUACGGGAGGCAGCAGUAGGGAAUCUUCGGCAAUGGACGAAAGUCUGACCGAGCAACGCCGCGUGAGUGAAGAAGGUUUUCCGAUCGUAAAACUCCGUUGGUAGAGAAGAAAGUUGGUGAGAGUGGAAAGCUCAUCAAGUGACGGUAACUACCCAGAAAGGGACGGCUAACUACGUG
rnacentral:rRNA from 1 species